UACGUAGGGUGCAAGCGUUAUCCGGAAUUAUUGGGCGUAAAGAGCUCGUAGGCGGUUUGUCACGUCUGCCGUGAAAAUCCGGGGCUCAACCCCGGACUGCGGUGGGUACGGGCAGACUAGAGUGAUGUAGGGGAGACUGGAAUUCCUGGUGUAGCGGUGAAAUGCGCAGAUAUCAGGAGGAACACCGAUGGCGAAGGCAGGUCUCUGGGCAUUAACUGACGCUGAGGAGCGAAAGCAUGGGGAGCGAACAGG
rnacentral:rRNA from 1 species